GCGGAAAUUCACAAACCGGCAUCGUCUUCAUGUGCGGGUACAAAUUAGGGUUCUUAUCUUCUCACGAUCGAACCAAUCUUCUCUCCAACAUCUGCCUCUUCUCUGUCUCUGUCUUCUCCCUCUUCUUUGUUUCUGUUGCAAGUCUCGGUCGAACGAUUCUCGACGACCUUUGGCGUUCUUCGGCGUUCUUUGGCAUUCUUCGGCGCGAUUCUCGGCGUUCUUCGGCGGCGGACGCUGGGAAGCGAGGACACCCAGCGCGCGGUCUGCUUCUGUUGGGUUCUUCGGCGGCGUCCGAGAGUGUUCGGUCUGCUUCUGUUGGGAAACGAGAGUAUAAACGUGGAGGUCACAUGCGUCGUGGUGAUGCUUCACAAAGAAGACUAGGCCCUUCCC